CAGGAUCAAAGGAAAUCCUGAGACCACUCCAAGACCUCAUGGGGCCUAAUGAGGACUAGGGGAGGAACCCACCACCUGAAUCUGGGGCUGAUCAAGGCCAAGAUGGAAAGCAAAGAAGCUGGAAUGGCACCAGAUCCCUUCAGGAAACCUACCGGAUAUCCUGAGGAUUAAAUUCUGUGAAAAUGUUUGGUGAAUCAGAAAGUCCCAUGUAAAUGUUACAGUAGAGAUCCUGGUUAGGUUGUACCUCUCUCUUGGAGACAGAAGACCUGGUCGCUUAAAAUGUUGCAAUUAGAAAUGUUCAUGUAGCAGAGAAGAAGUAAUGAAGAGCCAAAUGAAAAGCUCUGAUAUGUGAUGUGUAAACUGACUUGAAAUAACAAGUUCAUACAGAAUAAGGAAGAACAUCCAGGAAAAUCCUGGAAAACAACAACACAAAAACCCAAUAAGGUAGAUACAAAGAAUCCAGUGGAGGGAUGCUGAAUGUGAGAAGAUGGCCAACUCACACUACAGAGAAAUUCUAGGUCCCCAAAUUACUAUAUAGAACAGGACCCUUCACCUCACCUCCUGCUAAUCUACACUAAAUCAGGAUGUGAGUGAUACAUUUUUAUCAUGUCAAAUCACUGAGAAUCUGACUUUUUGUUAAAACAACAACCACUACCUACUCUAAAGCAGAAAGCUAAAUGGAUCCUGAAAUGAUUCCUUCCGUAUGCUCAGCCUACCUUAAAGAGCCAAAAAUGUCUUGA